rnacentral:rRNA from 1 species
AUUGAACGCUGGCGGCAGGCCUAACACAUGCAAGUCGAACGGUAACAGGAAGCAGCUUGCUGCUUCGCUGGCGAGUGGCGGACGGGUGAGUAAUGUCUGGGAAACUGCCUGAUGGAGGGGGAUAACUACUGAAAACGGUAGCUACUACCGCAUAACGUCGCAUGACUAAAGGGGGGGGCCUUAUGGCCUCGUGUCAUGGGAUGUGCCCAGAUGGGAUUAGCUAGUAGGUGGGGUUACGUCUCCCCUAGGCGACGAUCCCUAGCUGGUCUGAGAGGAUGACCGGCCACCCUGGAACUGGACCACGCUCCAGGCGCCUACGGGAGGCAGCAGUGGGCAAUAUUGCACAGUGGGGGCAAGCAUGAUGCAACCAUGCGGCGUCUAUGAAGAAGGCCUUCAGGUUGUAAAGUACUUUCAGCGGGGGGAAAGGGAGUAAAGUUGAUACCUUUGCUCAUUGACGUUACCCGCAGAAGAAGCACCGGCUAACUCCGUG